CUACACAUGCAGUCGAGCGGAUGAGAAGAGCUUGCUCUUCGAUUCAGCGGCGGACGGGUGAGUAAUGCCUAGGAAUCUGCCUGGUAGUGGGGGACAACGUUUCGAAAGGAACGCUAAUACCGCAUACGUCCUACGGGAGAAAGCAGGGGACCUUCGGGCCUUGCGCUAUCAGAUGAGCCUAGGUCGGAUUAGCUAGUUGGUGAGGUAAUGGCUCACCAAGGCGACGAUCCGUAACUGGUCUGAGAGGAUGAUCAGUCACACUGGAACUGAGACACGGUCCAGACUCCUACGGGAGGCAGCAGUGGGGAAUAUUGGACAAUGGGCGAAAGCCUGAUCCAGCCAUGCCGCGUGUGUGAAGAAGGUCUUCGGAUUGUAAAGCACUUUAAGUUGGGAGGAAGGGCAUUAACCUAAUACGUUAGUGUUUUGACGUUACCGACAGAAUAAGCACCGGCUAACUCUGUGCCAGCAGCCGCGGUAAUACAGAGGGUGCAAGCGUUAAUCGGAAUUACUGGGCGUAAAGCGCGCGUAGGUGGUUUGUUAAGUUGGAUGUGAAAGCCCCGGGCUCAACCUGGGAACUGCAUCCAAAACUGGCAAGCUAGAGUACGGUAGAGGGUGGUGGAAUUUCCUGUGUAGCGGUGAAAUGCGUAGAUAUAGGAAGGAACACCAGUGGCGAAGGCGACCACCUGGACUGAUACUGACACUGAGGUGCGAAAGCGUGGGGAGCAAACAGGAUUAGAUACCCUGGUAGUCCACGCCGUAAACGAUGUCAACUAGCCGUUGGAAUCCUUGAGAUUUUAGUGGCGCAGCUAACGCAUUAAGUUGACCGCCUGGGGAGUACGGCCGCAAGGUUAAAACUCAAAUGAAUUGACGGGGGCCCGCACAAGCGGUGGAGCAUGUGGUUUAAUUCGAA
rnacentral:rRNA from 1 species